rnacentral:lncRNA from 1 species
UGGACCCCAGGUGAGGCCCCGGGCGUGGCCCAGGUGUGUCCAGGUGUGCCCAGGUGUGCUCAGGUGUUCCCCAGGUGUGCCCAGGUGUGUCCCCAGGUGUGUCCAGGUGUGCUCAGGUGUGUCCAGGUGUGCCCAGGUGUCCCCAGGUGUCCCCAGGUGUCCCCAGGUGUAUCCCAGGUGUGUCCAGGUGUGCCCAGGUGUGCCCAGGUGUGUCCAGGUGUGCCCAGAUGUGUCCCCAGGUGUGUCCAGGUGUGUCCAGGUGUCCCCAGGUGUGUCCAGGUGUAUCUCAGGUGUCCCCAGGUGUGUCCAGGUGUCCCCAGGUGUCCCCAGGUGUC